CAAGUCGAGGGCGGGGAGCAAUCCCCGACCGGCGAACGGGUGCGUAACACGUGAGCGACCUUCCGUCUUCUGGGGGAUAGCCGGCCCAACGGCCGGGUAAUACCGCAUACGCUCUUGGGGCCGCAUGGCCUGAGGAGGAAACUUCCGGGGGAGGACGAGGGGCUCGCGGCCUAUCAGCUAGUUGGUGGGGUAACGGCCCACCAAGGCGACGACGGGUAGCUGGUCUGAGAGGAUGGCCAGCCACAUUGGGACUGAGAGACGGCCCAGACUCCUACGGGAGGCAGCAGUGGGGAAUCUUGCGCAAUGGCCGAAAGGCUGACGCAGCGACGCCGCGUGUGGGAGGAAGCUCUUCGGGGUGUAAACCACUGUUGCCCGGGACGAACAGCACUAUCCGUAGUGCCUGACGGUACCGGGUGAGGAAGCACCGGCUAACUCUGUGCCAGCAGCCGCGGUAAUACAGAGGGUGCGAGCGUUGUCCGGAAUCACUGGGCGUAAAGGGCGCGUAGGUGGUGGCUUAAGCGUGCGGUGAAAGCUCGGAGCUCAACUCCGAGUCGGCCGUGCGAACUGGGCUCACUGGAGCAUAGUAGAGGCAGGUGGAAUUCCGGGUGUAGCGGUGGAAUGCGUAGAGAUCCGGAAGAACACCGGUGGCGAAGGCGGCCUGCUGGGCUAUGGCUGACACUGAGGCGCGACAGCGUGGGGAGCAAACAGGAUUAGAUACCCUGGUAGUCCACGCCGUAAACGAUGGGCACUAGGUGCUUGGGGGAGCGACCCCCUGGGUGCCGGCGCUAACGCAUGAAGUG
rnacentral:rRNA from 1 species